AUGAUAGAAAAUGCAUCGAAAUAUAGUUGACCGGGAAAUAUGAUUGAAAAUCCAUCGAUUUUUGGUUGACCGGGAGAUCAACGGGUGGUAUACCCAACGUACUGCACCGGACACAGCUCAUUUCUGGACCCUUGGCACAAGCGUACAGGUAAGCUUGCUUAAUGUUCGAUAUGAAUCCAGACAGCACAGGCACGCGGUGUGUUUUUAUACAGUCUGUGGGCAGCUGAAGAGACUGGCUCAUUUUCAAAUAAUGUUACCGUUAACUUGUUUAGACAACGGUCACGGUAAAUUAAUGUUAAAGCCUUGAGUUUCCAGCAGUUUCUCGGAGGGAAAAUGUAAAAGCAGUUUAUUAAAGAGAAGUCCUGACUGCUUUUUCGUCGUGUUUUUCACUCUUUUACAGGCUGCCAGAAAGAAUCCGUCUCUAUAGUGAGUGAUUAUUGAAUGAGGCUGUACAUUAUAAAUGUAAUGUUUUAACUCGAGAUGUUUGUUUGUGUGAAUGCUGUGUGUGCGCUGAGUUCUGCGCGAGCGGGGAGCAGAGUUGCCAUGGAAACGGGGCGUCAACACAAAAACCGUUACUGGCAAGCAGUAAUCUCCGUCUCUUGCUGCGGUUUACGCUGUUUUAGGAGGACAGAAAUAAACUAUACAGAACAAAGUGAAACUCCAAGAUUUUUGAAAAGAAAAUUGGUGAAAUAUAUUCUGAAAAAGGCAUAUUAAUGUAUUUCAUGAGCUUCUUCAGUAAAUCUGUAUUUCUAAGUCAGUAUCUCCCUUCAGAAAUGUUGCUGAAGGGAGAUACUGACUUAGAAAUGCAGGUGAACUCAUGAAAAUAAGCUCAUGAAAUACAUUAAUAUGCCUUUUUCAGAAUAUAUUUCACCAAUUUUAAGGAGUCCCUGACAUCAAAACAUUGCUUGUUUUGUUCCUGGACUCUUCAGUGAUGAUGAGCAGAGUCUGAGUGAACCUGCUGUCAGACAAUCACUAUUGCACACCAAAUGCUCUUACUCAGCAGAUGGGGACAGCUACCAUCACCCAAUUUUCACCCAAAAGUGUCUGCGCUAUGGGCCAGACCGGGCAGGAGGGACUGGACGACAACUUAUGCAGGCAUCAGAUGACAAUGAAGUGUAAAUAAAGAGUAGAGGCUAAUAAACAGGAAUUUGAUUUUAAAUAGUGUGGUGUGUUCUGUGUUUUAUACAAGAUUUUAAAUGUUCUAUUAAUUUUUAACAUCCUGGCUGUAGAUAAAGCAGGCUAUUUAAUUUAUGGCAUUACAUUUAAAAUUAACAUUUAAAAAUGAUUGAAAUUCCAUUGAAAUCACGUUGAUCCUUAGUUCAGUUGAAAUUUCAACAUUGUUUCAAUAUUCCUGAUAAUUGAAAUACCAUUGAAAUUCCGUUGAUCUAUGGACAGAAUUUCAACAUUGUUUCAAUAUUAAAUCAGGGUGCAAAAUGAUGUUGGAUCAACAUCAGAGUUCGAUGUUGAUUCAAUGACUUAAUGUUGACAACGGGAUGUUGAUUCAGCAUAGUUUCAAUGACUGUUUGCUA